rnacentral:rRNA from 1 species
AAAGGUAAGCUACUAAGAGCGAAUGGUGGAUGCCUUGACUGGUAAAGGCGAUGAAGGACGUACUAGACUGCGAUAAGCUACGGGGAGCUGUCAAGAAGCUUUGAUCCGUAGAUUUCCGAAUGGGGCAACCCAAUGUAUAGAGAUAUACAUUACCUAUAUAGGAGCGAACGAGGGGAAUUGAAACAUCUUAGUACCCUCAGGAAAAGAAAUCAAUAGAGAUUGCGUCAGUAGCGGCGAGCGAAAGCGCAAGAGGGCAAACCCAGUGCUUGCACUGGGGGUUGUAGGACUGCAAUGUGCAAGAGGUAAGUUUAGCAGAACAUUCUGGAAAGUAUAACCAUAGAGGGUGAUAGUCCCGUAUGCGAAAAACAAACCUUAGCUAGCAGUAUCCUGAGUAGGGCGGGACACGAGGAAUCCUGUCUGAAUCUGGGUCGACCACGAUCCAACCCUAAAUACUAAUACCAGAUCGAUAGUGCACAAGUACCGUGAGGGAAAGGUGAAAAGAACUGAGGUGAUCAGAGUGAAAUAGAACCUGAAACCAUUUGCUUACAAUCAUUCAGAGCCCUAUGUAGCAAUACAGGGUGAUGGACUGCCUUUU